AGCGUACACGGUGGAUGCCCUGGCAGUCAGAGGCGAUGAAGGACGUGCUAAUCUGCGAUAAGCGUCGGUAAGGUGAUAUGAACCGUUAUAACCGGCGAUUUCCGAAUGGGGAAACCCAGUGUGUUUCGACACACUAUCAUUAACUGAAUCCAUAGGUUAAUGAGGCGAACCGGGGGAACUGAAACAUCUAAGUACCCCGAGGAAAAGAAAUCAACCGAGAUUCCCCCAGUAGCGGCGAGCGAACGGGGAGCAGCCCAGAGCCUGAAUCAGUGUGUGUGUUAGUGGAAGCGUCUGGAAAGGCGCGCGAUACAGGGUGACAGCCCCGUACACAAAAAUGCACAUGCUGUGAGCUCGAUGAGUAGGGCGGGACACGUGGUAUCCUGUCUGAAUAUGGGGGGACCAUCCUCCAAGGCUAAAUACUCCUGACUGACCGAUAGUGAACCAGUACCGUGAGGGAAAGGCGAAAAGAACCCCGGCGAGGGGAGUGAAAAAGAACCUGAAACCGUGUACGUACAAGCAGUGGGAGCACGCUUCGGCGUGUGACUGCGUACCUUUUGUAUAAUGGGUCAGCGACUUAUAUUCUGUAGCAAGGUUAACCGAAUAGGGGAGCCGAAGGGAAACCGAGUCUUAACUGGGCGUUAAGUUGCAGGGUAUAGACCCGAAACCCGGUGAUCUAGCCAUGGGCAGGUUGAAGGUUGGGUAACACUAACUGGAGGACCGAACCGACUAAUGUUGAAAAAUUAGCGGAUGACUUGUGGCUGGGGGUGAAAGGCCAAUCAAACCGGGAGAUAGCUGGUUCUCCCCGAAAGCUAUUUAGGUAGCGCCUCGUGAAUUCAUCUCCGGGGGUAGAGCACUGUUUCGGCAAGGGGGUCAUCCCGACUUACCAACCCGAUGCAAACUGCGAAUACCGGAGAAUGUUAUCACGGGAGACACACGGCGGGUGCUAACGUCCGUCGUGAAGAGGGAAACAACCCAGACCGCCAGCUAAGGUCCCAAAGUCAUGGUUAAGUGGGAAACGAUGUGGGAAGGCCCAGACAGCCAGGAUGUUGGCUUAGAAGCAGCCAUCAUUUAAAGAAAGCGUAAUAGCUCACUGGUCGAGUCGGCCUGCGCGGAAGAUGUAACGGGGCUAAACCAUGCACCGAAGCUGCGGCAGCGACGCUUAUGCGUUGUUGGGUAGGGGAGCGUUCUGUAAGCCUGCGAAGGUGUGCUGUGAGGCAUGCUGGAGGUAUCAGAAGUGCGAAUGCUGACAUAAGUAACGAUAAAGCGGGUGAAAAGCCCGCUCGCCGGAAGACCAAGGGUUCCUGUCCAACGUUAAUCGGGGCAGGGUGAGUCGACCCCUAAGGCGAGGCCGAAAGGCGUAGUCGAUGGGAAACAGGUUAAUAUUCCUGUACUUGGUGUUACUGCGAAGGGGGGACGGAGAAGGCUAUGUUGGCCGGGCGACGGUUGUCCCGGUUUAAGCGUGUAGGCUGGUUUUCCAGGCAAAUCCGGAAAAUCAAGGCUGAGGCGUGAUGACGAGGCACUACGGUGCUGAAGCAACAAAUGCCCUGCUUCCAGGAAAAGCCUCUAAGCAUCAGGUAACAUCAAAUCGUACCCCAAACCGACACAGGUGGUCAGGUAGAGAAUACCAAGGCGCUUGAGAGAACUCGGGUGAAGGAACUAGGCAAAAUGGUGCCGUAACUUCGGGAGAAGGCACGCUGAUAUGUAGGUGAGGUCCCUCGCGGAUGGAGCUGAAAUCAGUCGAAGAUACCAGCUGGCUGCAACUGUUUAUUAAAAACACAGCACUGUGCAAACACGAAAGUGGACGUAUACGGUGUGACGCCUGCCCGGUGCCGGAAGGUUAAUUGAUGGGGUCAGCGCAAGCGAAGCUCUUGAUCGAAGCCCCGGUAAACGGCGGCCGUAACUAUAACGGUCCUAAGGUAGCGAAAUUCCUUGUCGGGUAAGUUCCGACCUGCACGAAUGGCGUAAUGAUGGCCAGGCUGUCUCCACCCGAGACUCAGUGAAAUUGAACUCGCUGUGAAGAUGCAGUGUACCCGCGGCAAGACGGAAAGACCCCGUGAACCUUUACUAUAGCUUGACACUGAACAUUGAGCCUUGAUGUGUAGGAUAGGUGGGAGGCUUUGAAGUGUGGACGCCAGUCUGCAUGGAGCCGACCUUGAAAUACCACCCUUUAAUGUUUGAUGUUCUAACGUUGACCCGUAAUCCGGGUUGCGGACAGUGUCUGGUGGGUAGUUUGACUGGGGCGGUCUCCUCCUAAAGAGUAACGGAGGAGCACGAAGGUUGGCUAAUCCUGGUCGGACAUCAGGAGGUUAGUGCAAUGGCAUAAGCCAGCUUGACUGCGAGCGUGACGGCGCGAGCAGGUGCGAAAGCAGGUCAUAGUGAUCCGGUGGUUCUGAAUGGAAGGGCCAUCGCUCAACGGAUAAAAGGUACUCCGGGGAUAACAGGCUGAUACCGCCCAAGAGUUCAUAUCGACGGCGGUGUUUGGCACCUCGAUGUCGGCUCAUCACAUCCUGGGGCUGAAGUAGGUCCCAAGGGUAUGGCUGUUCGCCAUUUAAAGUGGUACGCGAGCUGGGUUUAGAACGUCGUGAGACAGUUCGGUCCCUAUCUGCCGUGGGCGCUGGAGAACUGAGGGGGGCUGCUCCUAGUACGAGAGGACCGGAGUGGACGCAUCACUGGUGUUCGGGUUGUCAUGCCAAUGGCACUGCCCGGUAGCUAAAUGCGGAAGAGAUAAGUGCUGAAAGCAUCUAAGCACGAAACUUGCCCCGAGAUGAGUUCUCCCUGACUCCUUGA
rnacentral:rRNA from 1 species